GGCGGCGUGCCUAAUACAUGCAAGUCGAGCGAACAGACGAGGAGCUUGCUCCUCUGACGUUAGCGGCGGACGGGUGAGUAACACAUGGAUAACCUACCUAUAAGACUGGGAUAACUUCGGGAAACCGGAGCUAAUACCGGAUAAUAUAUUGAACCGCAUGGUUCAAUAGUGAAAGACGGUUUUGCUGUCACUUAUAGAUGGAUCCGCGCCGCAUUAGCUAGUUGGUAAGGUAACGGCUUACCAAGGCAACGAUGCGUAGCCGACCUGAGAGGGUGAUCGGCCACACUGGAACUGAGACACGGUCCAGACUCCUACGGGAGGCAGCAGUAGGGAAUCUUCCGCAAUGGGCGAAAGCCUGACGGAGCAACGCCGCGUGAGUGAUGAAGGUCUUCGGAUCGUAAAACUCUGUUAUUAGGGAAGAACAAAUGUGUAAGUAACUAUGCACGUCUUGACGGUACCUAAUCAGAAAGCCACGGCUAACUACGUGCCAGCAGCCGCGGUAAUACGUAGGUGGCAAGCGUUAUCCGGAAUUAUUGGGCGUAAAGCGCGCGUAGGCGGUUUUUUAAGUCUGAUGUGAAAGCCCACGGCUCAACCGUGGAGGGUCAUUGGAAACUGGAAAACUUGAGUGCAGAAGAGGAAAGUGGAAUUCCAUGUGUAGCGGUGAAAUGCGCAGAGAUAUGGAGGAACACCAGUGGCGAAGGCGACUUUCUGGUCUGUAACUGACGCUGGUGUGCGAAAGCGUGGGGAUCAAACAGGAUUAGAUACCCUGGUAGUCCACGCCGUAAACGAUGAGUGCUAAGUGUUAGGGGGUUUCCGCCCCUUAGUGCUGCAGCUAACGCAUUAAGCACUCCGCCUGGGGAGUACGACCGCAAGGUUGAAACUCAAAGGAAUUGACGGGGACCCGCACAAGCGGUGGAGCAUGUGGUUUAAUUCGAAGCAACGCGAAGAACCUUACCAAA
rnacentral:rRNA from 1 species